CACACUCAAUAACGGUUAUGGAGACUCUGUAUAUUUCAGUGUUUAUGGCCAUUUUAUCAUGUGUCCAGUCAGAUAUUGUCUUGAUGCAAAAAAGUAGUGAAGUCAAAAAUCCUGGAGAGGCUCUGCAACUGACCUGCCAAGGUUCAGGACAGGAUAGUGAUGUGUAUACCGUCACUGGUUAUGGCUUGAAGUGGAUUAGACAAGAGCCAGGAAAAGGACUUGAAUGGCUGGCUUACAUUGACCCUGGCAGCAGCACUAUAGAGUACGCCAGCAGAAUUAAAGGAAGGUUUACAAUCUCCAGAGACAACUCUAAACAGGUUGGGUAUAUGGACAUGAGCAGCCUCAAAAUUGAAGACACUGCCAAAUAUUAUUGUGUUACAAGCACAGUGAAGAACUUCUUGUUAUUGCUUAUAUAAAAUCCUGAAUAAAAGCCUUUUAGCAAAUGUUAGAAACAAUUUCCUUCCUAUCCUUCUCACAACUUGCCUAUAAAGUGUUUUAUUUUUAUUUUUAGUGUUGUGCUACAGUUAUAAAAUGUAAUUAAAAUACUUUUUCACCCAAAAUACACAUUAAAAUUCUGUCAUGCAUGAUAUCUUCAAGGGAAACAAAGAGGGCAAGUUGAAUGUUUUGUCAGACUAUUGUUCAUAUGAAAGAUGAAAGCUCCUCAGUAGCUAAGCCUGCAUUUCCCUUCAUAACCACAAAGCCAC